CACUUAUCAAGAGCGAUUGAGGGACUGGCCCGAUGACAUCCAGCAACCUACCUGACGGUGUGGUGCUAAAUCCAGCGGUGUAAACCGGAAGAUGAGAA
rnacentral:ncRNA from 2 species